rnacentral:tRNA from 1 species
GCUGUAGCUCAACUGGAUAGAGUACUUGACUACGAAUCAAGCGGUUGCAGGUUCGAUUCCUGUCAGCC